GCCGGCGUGGCGGAAUUGGCAGACGCACAGGACUUAAAAUCCUGCGGGGUCAAACCCGUACCGGUUCAAGUCCGGUCGCCGGCA
rnacentral:tRNA from 2 species